rnacentral:rRNA from 1 species
AACCCGCACAAGCGGUGGAGUAUGUUGUUUAAUUCGAAGAUACACGAAGAACCUUACCAGGUCUUGACAUACCAUUGACAGGUGUAGAGAUACACUCUCCUUCGGGCAAUGGAUACAGGUGGUGCAUGGUUGUCGUCAGCUCGUGCCGUGAGGUGUUGGGUUAAGUCCCGCAACGAGCGCAACCCUCAUUGUUAGUUACUACCAUUCAGUUGAGGACUCUAAUGAGACUGCCAACGACAAGUUGGAGGAAGGUGGGGAUGACGUCAAAUCAUCAUGCCCUUUAUGACCUGGGCUACAAACGUACUACAAUGGCCAAUACAAAGAGAUGCGAAGCGGUGACGUGAAGCGAACCUCAGAAAGUUGGUCUCAGUUCAGAUUGAAGUCUGCAACUCGACUUCAUGAAGGCGGAAUCGCUAGUAAUCGCGGGUCAGCAGACCGCGGUGAAUACGUUCCCGGGUUUU